rnacentral:rRNA from 1 species
GACGAACGCUGGCGGCGUGCUUAACACAUGCAAGUCGAACGGAAAGGCCCUGCUUUUGUGGGGUGCUCGAGUGGCGAACGGGUGAGUAACACGUGAGUAACCUGCCCUUGACUUUGGGAUAACUUCAGGAAACUGGGGCUAACACCGGAUAGGAGCUCCUGCUGCAUGGUGGGGGUUGGAAAGUUUCGGCGGUUGGGGAUGGACUCGCGGCUUAUCAGCUUGUUGGUGGGGUAGUGGCUUACCAAGGCUUUGACGGGUAGCCGGCCUGAGAGGGUGACCGGCCACAUUGGGACUGAGAUACGGCCCAGACUCCUACGGGAGGCAGCAGUGGGGAAUAUUGCACAAUGGGCGGAAGCCUGAUGCAGCAACGCCGCGUGCGGGAUGACGGCCUUCGGGUUGUAAACCGCUUUCGCCUAUGACGAAGCGUGAGUGACGGUAAUGGGUAAAGAAGCACCGGCUAACUACGUG